rnacentral:rRNA from 1 species
UACGUAGGGGGCUAGCGUUGUCCGGAUUUAUUGGGCGUAAAGAGCGUGUAGGCGGUUCGGUAAGUCUGUCGUGAAAUCCUGAGGCUCAACCUCGGGCGUGCGAUGGAUACUGCCAGGCUAGAGGGUGGUAGAGGCGAGUGGAAUUCCCGGUGUAGCGGUGAAAUGCGCAGAUAUCAGGAGGAACACCGGUGGCGAAGGCGGGUCUCUGGGCAGUAACUGACGCUGAGGAGCGAAAGCGUGGGGAGCGAACAGG